GAAGGNCCUUCGGGGUACUCGAGUGGCGAACGGGUGAGUAACACGUGGGUGAUCUGCCCUGCACUUUGGGAUAAGCCUGGGAAACUGGGUCUAAUACCGAAUAGGACCACGCGCUUCAUGGUGUGUGGUGGAAAGCUUUUGCGGUGUGGGAUGGGCCCGCGGCCUAUCAGCUUGUUGGUGGGGUAAUGGCCUACCAAGGCGACGACGGGUAGCCGGCCUGAGAGGGUGACCGGCCACACUGGGACUGAGAUACGGCCCAGACUCCUACGGGAGGCAGCAGUGGGGAAUAUUGCACAAUGGGCGCAAGCCUGAUGCAGCGACGCCGCGUGAGGGAUGACGGCCUUCGGGUUGUAAACCUCUUUCAAUAGGGACGAAGCGCAAGUGACGGUACCUAUAGAAGAAGCACCGGCCAACUACGUGCCAGCAGCCGCGGUAAUACGUAGGGUGCGAGCGUUGUCCGGAAUUACUGGGCGUAAAGAGCUCGUAGGUGGUUUGUCGCGUUGUUCGUGAAAACUCACAGCUUAACUGUGGGCGUGCGGGCGAUACGGGCAGACUAGAGUACUGCAGGGGAGACUGGAAUUCCUGGUGUAGCGGUGGAAUGCGCAGAUAUCAGGAGGAACACCGGUGGCGAAGGCGGGUCUCUGGGCAGUAACUGACGCUGAGGAGCGAAAGCGUGGGGAGCGAACAGGAUUAGAUACCCUGGUAGUCCACGCCGUAAACGGUGGGUACUAGGUGUGGGUUCCUUCCUUGGGAUCCGUGCCGUAGCUAACGCAUUAAGUACCCCGCCUGGGGAGUACGGCCGCAAGGCUAAAACUCAAAGGAAUUGACGGGGGCCCGCACAAGCGGCGGAGCAUGUGGAUUAAUUCGAUGCAACGCGAAGAACCUUACCUGGGUUUGACAUGCACAGGACGCCGGCAGAGAUGUCGGUUCCCUUGUGGCCUGUGUGCAGGUGGUGCAUGGCUGUCGUCAGCUCGUGUCGUGAGAUGUUGGGUUAAGUCCCGCAACGAGCGCAACCCUUGUCCUAUGUUGCCAGCGGGUUAUGCCGGGGACUCGUAGGAGACUGCCGGGGUCAACUCGGAGGAAGGUGGGGAUGACGUCAAGUCAUCAUGCCCCUUAUGUCCAGGGCUUCACACAUGCUACAAUGGCCGGUACAAAGGGCUGCGAUGCCGUGAGGUGGAGCGAAUCCUUUCAAAGCCGGUCUCAGUUCGGAUCGGGGUCUGCAACUCGACCCCGUGAAGUCGGAGUCGCUAGUAAUCGCAGAUCAGCAACGCUGCCGGUGAAUACGUUCCCGGGCCUUNNNCNNACCGCCCGUCACGUCANGAAAGUCGGUAACACCCGAAGCCGG
rnacentral:rRNA from 1 species